rnacentral:rRNA from 1 species
CUGUACGAGUUUGAUCCUGGCUCAGGAUGAACGCUAGCGGCAGGCUUAAUACAUGCAAGUCAAGGGGGUAGCAAUACAACCGGCGCACGGGUGAGUAACGCGUACACAACAUACCAUAUACUGGGGUAUAGCUUUGGGAAACUGAAGGUAAUCCCCCAUAACACUGCGAGAGGGCAUCUGAUUGCAAUUAAAGUUUCGGCGGUAUAUGAUUGGUGUGCGUUUGAUUAGCUAGUUGGUAGGGUAACGGCCUACCAAGGCGACGAUCAAUAGCUGGCGUGAGAGCGCGACCAGCCACACUGGAACUGAGACACGGUCCAGACUCCUACGGGAGGCAGCAGUAGGGAAUAUUGGACAAUGGAGGAAACUCUGAUCCAGCCAUGCCGCGUGAUAGAUGAAGGCCCUCUGGGUUGUAAAUAUCUUUUAUCUGGGAAGAAACAAUCUUAUUCUUAAGAUCUUGACGGUACCAGAGGAAUAAGCACCGGCUAACUCCGUG